UACCUCUCCGCACUCGCGGUUUGAAAGACCUCGGCCGUUACUUCUCUGUACCUGCCUCCAAACACACGUGGAGGUGGUGGCGAGAGGGAGGGGGCCCACCGCCACGUAUGCAUAAGGCGAGGGAGGAGGGGAUUGGGGCUGAGGGCAGUUCCCUGAGGACAGUUAGUGCUGCCUAAAGUGCAAGGCUCCCCCAUUCCUCUGUACCCCGAAACUGGAGGAAACAGUGUGGGGGCCUGGGGACGCCUGUCCACGGUCCAGGCAGAGCCCUGGAACCCUGAGCUUUGAUGCUGCAGCAGCGAUCGCCUGUGGGCACCUGGGUUCCUGGGGGGCGGGGCCUCCCCCAGGUGUGCGGAGAGCGAAGGCCACCAGAGCCAGCCCAGAGGACCCCAGGAGCCUCCUCCCGGGGACACGGUACAAAAGAGC
rnacentral:lncRNA from 1 species